UGAACUGGACUUGUAAAAUUUGGUUGGGGUAAUUUUAUAAGUCAAGUAACGAUCAGCGAUGUGGCCACCUCUGGAUAGCUUGAUAGAAUUCCUCGACCUCUGAAGUUGAGAGCUGUGUAGAUUUUUGAGGAAAUCUCCCACCCUCUAUCCUUCAGCUUGGUUCUGGGGCAGGCCUGGCCCCAGGUUGGCUGUAUGUAUGAGUCCUCCAGCUACACAGGUGAAUCAGUGUUCCCUGCCUCUUCUUCAGACACGUAACCUUGUUAGGAGCAGGGACAAAUGUGGGCAGACUUUGUCUUUGUGUAUUUUGUAUUUUGCCAAAGGUCUGGCACCAGAGCUAAUAAAUAAUCUUGGCCCUUUCUUUUGAGUAGCUUGCUAUUGUUCUCUGCUCAUGAGGCAUUUUGUGCCCAGUUCCUGUGUGGAAAGGUCUUGGUUCUGAUCAAAGGUGUUACCCAGUGAAAGGCAAUUGGACGGCUCAAUUAUUUACCGAGUACCCACUAAGAUGGCUCUGUGGAUGAUUACCAGAAAGACUUUAGGAGUGAGCUGAAAUCCAUGGAGAGAUCCAUGCCUGAACUGGAAACAGCUGCCCACUAACAGUCAGCCACAGGCACUGCCCAUUUCUCCCUGCUGUGUAAUCGAGGACAUGUUAAGACCAAGGAGCCGGGAAGGAGUGAGGACUUGGAAGUCACAGCCUGGCCCAGGCAGCUUGCAGUCCUGAGUUCUCUCUUGUAUGUACAAUAGCCGCGGGCACACACACACACACACACACACACACGAAUGGGUGCCACACUCAUGUGUCCAAACCAGAGAGCAAGUGAAAGGAGUAUGUAAUAAACAAGAAUAAAAUGAAUGAACUGCCUAAAUGUCUGGUACUGAGCAUACGCACUGUCGUGAGCUGGGAGAGACCAGUCGGCCCUGCAGCAUCCAAAGGAAUUAGAGAAGAAUCUGACUGUAGAAAAGGAAGAUCAUCACAGGCGUCACACGCUCUUUGAAACGUGAUGUUCAAUGACCACCGAGUAUCCUACCACACAAGUAACUACAAUUGAUUAAACUGAUCCUCUAGUUUUUUUUUUUUUCAACAUGUAUGAGGAAGAGAAUUUUGGCUAUUAUAAGUAAUGCCAAAAUGAAGGUCUCUGUAAAUAAUUUUUUGGUGUACAUCUGAUCAUUCUUGAAGAUAGGUUCCUAGAAAUGGAAUUAGUGAACUGAAGGGUAAAAAAUUUAAAGUAUUCUUGAUACUCAUUGCCAAAUUGUAUGCUAAAAAAAAAAAAAAAUCACCAAUUCGCACUUUCCGCCCCGCUGUGUAUAAGGGGCCCAUCUCACAUUAGGCUACAAAGAAAGUCAGUAGAGGCCUUAGAGCUGGGUUUGCUGAAUUAUCUGUUUUGUACAUUAAAUCCAUGAAGUUAGGUGAAAAGACCUGGGAGUGUUGCUGGCCCCAGGGGCCUAAUUUUCUUCUGCACACAUUUUUAUAACGUUCUGAAAUGGUAUGCGUACUGCCCGCAGUUUCUUUCUUUCUUUCUCUUUGUUUUGGUAGUGGGAAUUGAACCCAGGGCCUAUAACCACUGAGCUACAUGCCCAGUUUUGUUUUGUUUUUAAUUAACGUAAGCUUCCCCGAGCGGCAGGAAAGCCUGAGUGCCUGGAUGAAGACUUCCCCAGGGAGCUGGGGGGCAGUGGAGGGUGGUGACCGGCCUCUCCGUGGACCUCGGCAGGGCCUCAGCUGCAGGUAGAGGAGGUCUGAUUCACAUCCAUCACCGACGACGACAGACAAGAGUCACAACGAGGGAAAACCACAGCUCUCAGGGGA